AAAAAGGGCUUCUGCUGUGCUUUGCACAGGAGGGAUGGUAAUGACUGUUCCUCCUGCGGAAUCGCCAUCAAGAGAUUUCGGAAGCAAAAUUUUUAGAUCCGGGGCUGCUGGUGAUCUACUGUCCUGGCGCCCCA
rnacentral:snRNA from 1 species